AUUAUAUAUUUUACUUUAAUUUUUAUAUUUUUAUUUGGAGAAAUAUCUUUAAUUUUAGUAUAAAUAAAGAACAAAAAGUUUUAUUGUUAUAGUAUAUUAGUACUGUAAAGGAAUUGAUGAAAUAUUUUGAAAAUUUAAAUUUUCAAAAGUAAAUUUUAUUUGUUGUACCUUUUGUAUCAGGGUUAAUUAAAUAUAUUUAAUUUAUUUUAUAUUCUCGAUUUCAGAAGAGCUAAUUUUAAAUUAUUCUUGUUGUAAUAUAACCAUAUUUAAUUUAAUUUUAGGGGAGAUAUUCCAUUCGAUUCUGAAGAUAUCUGGUUUUUUAAGAAAUAAAUUUAAUUUAGACUUGGUUAUUAAAUAAUUUAUUUAUUAAUUAUUUAUUAGUUAAGAUUAAAAUAUUAGGGGAUAAGCUCUAAUAUUAUUCUAAAAAUUUCGUUUUUUUUUAUUUUUUGUAAGCUUUAAAUUAGCUAUCACUUAUGAGUUCGUUGUAGUUCAAAAUAAUAAAAUUAUGAUUUUCUUUAAUUUUAGUAUUUUAUUAAAAUGAUAUUUUUAAUUUUAUAAAAUUUGUAAUAAUGAUUAAAUUAGUAUAUAUUUAUUUUGUGUGUUGUUUAUUUUUUGUUAGUAUAAAAUAAGGAAUUCGGCAAAUUUAACGCUCGCCUGUUUACCAAAAACAUGUCCUCUUGUUUAUAUAUGAGGUUUGACCUGCCCGGUGAAAUUAUUUUAACGGCCGCAGUAUUUUGACUGUGCAAAGGUAGCAUAAUCAUUAGUCUUUUAAUAGGGGGCUGGAAUGAAGGGUUUGACGAGGUGUUAACUGUCUCAUUAAAUUUAUUAUUAAAAUUUAACUUUUCAGUCAAAAGGCUGAAAUUAUAUUGGAAGACGAGAAGACCCUAUAGAGCUUUAUAAUUUAAAGUUUAAUUAUUAUUUGUUUAUUAUUUUUUAUUAUUCUUUUAAUUAUUUUGUUGGGGUGACAAAAAUAUAAAAUUAACUUUUUUAUUUAAUCAACAUUGAUUAAUGAAUAUUAGAUCCAAUCUUAUUGAUUGUUAGAUUAAGUUACCUUAGGGAUAACAGCGUAAUCUUCCUUCAGAGUUCAUAUUUACGGGAAGGCUUGCGACCUCGAUGUUGGAUUAAGAUAAUAAUUAGGUGUAGCCGCUUAAUAUAUAAGUCUGUUCGACCUUUAAAUUCUUACAU
rnacentral:rRNA from 1 species